rnacentral:rRNA from 1 species
CAUUUCUAGCUUGCUAGAAGAUGACGAGCGGCGGACGGGUGAGUAAUGCUUGGGAAUAUGCCUUUUGGUGGGCGGACAACAGUUGUGAAACGACUGCUAAUACCGCAUAAUGUCUACGGACCAAAGUGGGGGACCUUCGGGCCUCACGCCAAAAGAUUAGCCCAAGUGGGAUUAGCUAGUUGGUAAGGUAAUGGCUUACCAAGGCAACGAUCCCUAGCUGGUUUGAGAGGAUGAUCAGCCACACUGGGACUGAGACACGGCCCAGACUCCUACGGGAGGCAGCAGUGGGGAAUAUUGCACNAUGGGCGCAAGCCUGAUGUCAGCCAUGCCGCGUGUGUGAAGAAGGCCUUCGGGUUGUAAAGCACUUUCAGUAAGGAGGAAAGGUUAAGUUUUAAUAGAGCUUAUCUGUGACGUUACUUACAGAAGAAGCACCGGCUAACUCCGUGCCAGCAGCCGCGGUAAUAC